UACGUAGGGGGCAAGCGUUGUCCGGAUUUAUUGGGCGUAAAGAGCGUGUAGGCGGCUUUGCAAGUCCGUUGUGAAAACUCGAGGCUCAACCUCGAGACGCCGGUGGAAACUGCAAAGCUAGAGUCCGGAAGAGGAGAGUGGAAUUCCUGGUGUAGCGGUGAAAUGCGCAGAUAUCAGGAGGAACACCCGUGGCGAAAGCGGCUCUCUGGGACGGUACUGACGCUGAGACGCGAAA
rnacentral:rRNA from 1 species